GAAGAAAUGGGAAACCAGCAUCUUGUACUUCCGUGGAAGGUCCUGACUGAGAGAAAGUCAGCCAUGACUGGAAUAAGACAGGCUGGUUAUCACCACAUGCAGAAUACUAUCAUGCUGUAAAAGCUACUUUUCACUGGGAAAUUGUUUGAGUGAUCAGUCUAUCCUGCUGAGCCAAAAAGUUGCAUAUACAGAGUGUUCAGCAAUUAGAAGCAAGAUCUAAUACUAUAUUUCAUUAGAGUUCUGUCCUAUAAAAAUGUAUGUAUGUGCACUAAUGUUUUUGUCACCACUGAAAUAAAAAAUAAAUGUAGUUCUUUUCUA